rnacentral:rRNA from 1 species
GAUGGGCCCGCGGCCUAUCAGCUUGUUGGUGGGGUAACGGCCUACCAAGGCGAUGACGGGUAGCUGGUCUGAGAGGACGACCAGCCACACGGGGACUGAGACACGGCCCCGACUCCUACGGGAGGCAGCAGUGAGGAAUCUUCCGCAAUGGGCGAAAGCCUGACGGAGCGACGCCGCGUGUGGGAUGAAGUCCUUCGGGAUGUAAACCACUGUCGGAGGGGAAGAGAACGGACGGUACCCUCCAAGAAAGCCCCGGCUAACUACGUGCCAGCAGCCGCGGUAAUACGUAGGGGGCAAGCGUUAUCCAGAUUUACUGGGCGUAAAGCGCGUGUAGGCGGCUGGUUAAGUGUGAUGUGAAAUCUCCCGGCUUAACCGGGAAACUGCAUUGCAAACUGGCCUGGCUCGAGUGCAGGAGAGGGUAGUGGAAUUCCCGGUGUAGCGGUGAAAUGCGUAGAUAUCGGGAGG